rnacentral:tRNA from 1 species
GGCUGGAUGGCCUAGUUUGGUAAGGCUCCAGGUUCGGGACUUGGAAAUCGAGUGUUCAAAUCACUCUCCAGCCACCA